CCCUGAGUCCACGGCUGCGGGCCCACGGACGCCCGCGAGGCUCGGGGCGGGGCGGGGCGGCUUGCCCUUCCUCCAGCGCUUAGCUGCGAAGGGCCAAGCCCGCGGAGCGGUGUGGCUGGCAGCAGUAACUUGCAAAGUUUUGAAUUUUCUUUUUCCUCUUCAUGUUUACAUUUGAUCUCAGGAAGCUGGUUAAGGUUUGCAGUUGGGCCUGGUCAUCUGCCCCGACUCUAACGCGUGCAGGCUUCUGGUGAGGCCCGUGCACCGCGGUCUCCCCCGGGGCUCAGAGAUGCCCUCCUCGAAAUGCAGCGCUGGGCUCUGCAGCCCUUCCCUUUCAGACACCAGUGCCCAGCCUGAGCGCUCGCCCUUCCUCCCGGGCGUUUACCGGAGGUCUGGGUGCAGAGCGGGAACCGGACCACCGUCCCGGGCCAGAUGAGUAAAUACUCUGGCCGGGUGCCCCGUACGAGAGCUUGUGAAAGCGAGUGGACCAGAAAUAGCUCAGGGUAGAAAGCUCCCAGCGGCGACGUAGGGAGAAUGAGGCGCGAGCCAACUUGGUGGCCAGAAACGCACUUUUCCCUGGCUGGAGAAAGCUCCGAAAAGUAACAAGGUCUGCACGGGUGCUGGGGACGUAGCUCAGUUGGUAAGAGUGUUUGCUUACCAAGCUCAAAGCUCUGGGUCCCGGCACUCAGAGAGGUGGAGGCAGGAAGAAUCAGAUGUCAUUGACCUUACGUCCAGAGUUCAAGCCAGCCUAGGCUACCCGAGAUACAGUCCCAGAAAACAGAAAGAAAAAUAAAUAAAUAAAUAAAUAACAUGAUAUAGGAAACAAUAUUCCUAGGCUCUGCUCCUGAGACUGGGGUCACUUUCCGUGGAGGUGACAAAAGAGUGUGGGCUCGACAAGCCUGUAUUCUCAUUUGACCCUCUCAUAAUUAGACAUGUUAACAUUUUUAAGGUUUGUUUGUCUAUUUAUUUAUUGAGGCAGAGUCUCUCUACAUAGCCCUGACUGUCCUGGGACUCACUGUUUAGACCAGGCUGGCCUGGAACUCACAGAGAUCCACCAGUCCCUCCCUCUCAAGUGCUGAGAUUAAAGGCGUGUGUCACCAUGUGCCCAAGGCUUUAUUUUUACGAGUGAGUGUUUUGCCUCCAUGUAUGUGUGUGCACCAUGUGCAUGCCUGGUGCCUGGGGAGGGCACAGACCGAAUUGGAUCCCUUGGAACCGGAGUUACGGAAAGUUGGACAGGGCUGUGAGGGUGUCCAGUGCUCUUAAACAUGGAGUCAUUUCUCCUGCCCCGUGAUUAGACAUGUUCACAUGUGUAAGACAGAAUGGAGUGUAAGUGCUACAAACAUGUCAGGGAAGAUUUACUUCACAAGGUUAGGAUUUCUGUUCCACUUUUUUGUGUUUGUUUUGAGACGGUCUGACAUCACCCAAUCUUGUCUGAACUCCCGAACCUCCUGCCUCUGCCUCUGGGUGCUGGAAGGCCUGAGCUGUGCCCCCACGUCCAACAUCCCCUUGUUUGACAUUUUUGGAGGAUUAAGAGGUGUGAAAAGAUGGAAGAGGGAGAAGGAAUACAUUAAUCAUAAAUAGUUACAAGACAAUUUAGAAAAAGGCCACAUUUUAGAUGGCUUGUUAGCUCAUAACUUGUACUGACGUUGGUUUUUUUCCAAGUGUUAGGAAUAGAUCUCAGAACCUCACCAACAUUAUAGCCGUGUGUCACCGUACUCACUUUAUUCUAAUGUUAGUUUCAAUAUAAUUCAAAUAUAUACAUCCAAAGGAAAAAGGGUAUAUUAAAAAUCCAAUCGAGAGAUUGAGGAUUUAGCUCUGUGUACAGGGGAGGUGGGCGUUAGGAGAGCGGCUCUCUUGGACUGGGAACAUAGCUCCAUUGAUAGUGUUCCCCGGCAUUCACAAGGUCCUGGAUUAAGUGCCAGUGCCAGACAAAGUGGGCGUGGCCGCACACACGGACACCCUCGCAUUCGGGAGGUGGAGCCAGAAUCAGACGUUCAGAGUCAGCCUGGCUGUGUCGUCUGGGUCCAACCUGAAGCGCACGAAGACCUCGUCUUACACCAGUGAAGCAGACACGGUACCUUCAUGGAAGAACAAACAGGUAUCAGAGAGUCUAUCUCCAAAACAAGAGAAUAAAGGGCUUAGGUAGAGCUUAGCGGUAGAGCAGUGGUCUACAGUGGUGCAGGUUUUAGGGUCAGUCUCCAUCACAUUCAAAAAAGAAAGACUUGUUUUGAGGCAAGGUCUCUCAGGAAGCCCACCCUGUGCUCUUAGAUACGUAUCCUGUGUGACUUCUUUUGUUUUCUGUUUGUUUUAAAUGGUCUCACUGGCUGGUCUGGAACUCACAGGGACCCCUGAAAGGAAAGAAGUCUUGAUGGGUGCACAGUAGCACAUCAUUUCAGAAGCUCAAGUAGCUGCUGGUUCACCUCACACACUAGCUGAUGUGUGGAGAUGGACAAUAGCUUAGGUGGGAGACCACUCAUUUUCUGAGUCAACAGAAAGACAAAAGUUAGCAAAGAUAAGUGUUCUGGCUACUUUCUAUGUUAACCUGACACAAAUUAGAGUCAUCGGAGAGGAGGGAACUGCACCUGAGAAAAUGCCUCCAUGCGAUGGGCUGUGUGUGGGCAAGGCUGUCGGGCAUUUUCUUAAUUAUUGAUUAGUAGGAGAGGGCCCAGCCCAUUGUGGGUGGUCCCAUCCCUGGGCUGGUGGUCCUGGGUUCUAUAAGAAAGCAGGCUGAACAAGCCAAGGGGAGCAAGCCAGUAAGCAGCACUCCUCCAAGGCCUCUGCAUCAGCUCCUGCCUCCCUCCUGCCUCCGGGUUCCUGCCCUGCUUGAGUUCCUGCCCUGACUUCCCUCAGUGACGGGACUGAUACCUGGAAAUGUAAGCAAAACAAACUCUUUCAUCUCCAAGCUGCUUUUCGUCGUGGUGUUUCAUCACAGUAGUAAAAAGCCUAAGACAGGAACUGUUACCAGGAUUGUGGGCUAGAUCCCUGACAGACCUGACUGGUAGUGUAUGUUUGCUGUUGGUAGACCGUGGUGACAUUUGGGCACUGGGCUAGAAGAGCACUGAGUGCUCAGAACUCAGUAGGCUGUUCUGCGGGAUCUUGAAGGACACAAAUAUCAAGGGCAGUGCAGAACUCAAGCCUGGCUUGUGAAGUUCAGAGGGAAGCAAAGACUGCCGGCCUCUUGUGUGAAGAAUCUGCUGUCUGGUCAGCAGGAGCUGAAGGAUCAGCUGUGAUUAACAAGAGGCCGGCACCACUAAAGGAAAAUCUUUGUUUUUCUGGGAAGUUGAUGCUGGUCAGCUGGGGCUGAAGAACCAGCUGUGAUUUAUUGAGGUAAAACGUGUUUCCUCAGAGUUAGCACACAGAAGCUGUGUUCCAGAGGCAGCCAAGGUUGAGCCUCAUGCUGGCCGCGAACUUGGUAGUGUAAGAGUCACCCAACUGAGACUGCUUUGAAGGCACGAAAGGGUCAUAUAAGAGCAGCUGUGGCAGGCUGGAGAAGAGAGCCCAGGAGAGGCUAUUGGUGAAAGCUCGCCCCAGUUGUAGCAGAAGACCCCAGCACUGUGUAGGUGCCAGUGCCAGGGGAUGACCACCAAGAACAGCAGCAGUGCGGGGUGGAACCAGCCUGACCUAAAAGACAAGGAUUUCUCUGUGUAGCUUUGGAGCCUGUCCUAGAACUCAGUCUGUAGAUCAGGCUGUCCUGGAACCUAGAGAUCCAUCUAUCUUGCCUUCUGAGUGCUGGGAUUAAAGAUGUGUGCCACCACCGCCUGGUUCACGUAUGGGCAUUUUGCCCUCAGAUAUGUACAUGCACCAUGUACAUGCCUGGUGCUCAGUGUCCAAGAGGGGAGGAGAGAGCAUCGGAUCCCUUGGAACUGGAGUCAGACUGCUGUGAGCCACCAGGUAGGUAGUGGGAACCGAAGUUGGUCCUGGGCAAGAGCAGUAUUUAUUUUGAGACAGGGUCUCUUUAUAGCCCUGGCUGUCUGGAACUCUAUCAGGCUGGCCUCCUGUGUACUGGGAUUAAAAGCAUGCACCACGAUGCCUGCCAGACUUUAACUGCUUUCUGUUAAAUUUCUAGUUCCCAGCUGACUUCCUUUUACAUCUUGUUGACUAUAACUGGGUCAUAAACCAAGUCAGAGAGGGGGCUGGGAAAGCGUUAACUCCUUAGGGCUAGUGCACUGCCCACAGGAAUGCCGGAGGACUGUGUGUGGGGAAAAGGGGAAAGUCUGGCCAGAUGACCGAGUUGCCACACUCACUUAACUACUCAUAGUUUGGGUCAAUAAAGCCAUAUUCCAAGAAGGGAGUAGCCGGUCUGUCACUGUUAAAAGUGCAUUGUUUGGGGGCUGGCUAAGGCUAUAGCUCAGUGGUAGAGCAUUAGGCUGGCAUGUGUGAAGCCCUGGGUUUGCACCCUAACUACACACACACACACACACAGUGAAAACGGCUGGGCAUGCUGAAGUGUGCUUGUAAUUCCAGAACUCUGGAGGCAGAGGCAGGAGGACUGUUUAAGGCAAGCCUGGGCUGUGCAGCAAGAUGUUUCAAAACUAUUUCCUGGGGAGAUAGCUGGCUAUACAAGCAUAAGAACCUGAGUUUGGGCCGGCACAUAGGAGGCGGCAAAUCUCAAUGAGAUCGAGGGCAGCCUGGUCUACAUAGCAAGUACCAGGCCAGCCAAGGGCACAUGGUAAGAUCCUAUCUCAGAAGACAAGAGCCGAGGACCUGCAGAAUGGUUCAGUGGGUAAGGCUGACUACCUUGAUUCCUAGACCCACAAGGCAGAAGGAGAAAACUAACUCCUCCAAGUUGUCCUCUGACCUUCACAUACAUAGAGCUACCGGUACAUGUGCACAUGUACACACACACUAAAUCACUGCGAUAAAAUGAAAAGCGAAGGUGGCCGGUUGAGGGACAGCAGUUGACUUCUGACCUCCAUACACACACUCAAGCAUACCUGCAACACAUGAAUGCAUACAUACACCACAAGCCAGGUCCAGUGGCAUAGACCUGUAGUCUCAGCCACUUGGGAAGCUGAGGCAGGAGGAUCACAAGAUCAAGGCUAGUCUGGACAACUUGGGGAGACUGCCCCCCUCAAAAUUAAAAGAACUAAGGCUGUAUCUCAUCGGUAGAGCUAGCAUGCAUAAGAUCCUGGGUACAGAAAAAAACAAAACUGUUUUGAGAAAUAAGUAUAUUUAAUUCCACAACAGCUGAUUCUUCAUAUCCCUUUUAAAACAAAGAGUGAUUAUUUUUAGAUUUACUUUGUGAAUGUUUUGCCUGUAUGCAUGUGUACACCACAUGCAUGCCUGUUGGAUCCCCUGGAACUGAGGUUACAGACAGUUGUGAGCUACCAUGCGGGUGCUGGGGAUCAAACCUGGGUCCUCUGCUAACACAGCAAGUGCUUUUAACCACUGAGCCAGCUCUCCAGCCCCUCCUGAAAACUUCAUCCUCACAUUUAAGGACAACUGUGUACUGUGUUGUCUCAUGGCCGCUGUAUAAUCUAGUACUCCUCCUGUCUUUUGUAGCCUGACUUGAAGCUUGGGAAAGAGUAAGAGCCUUCCAGAAUAGAAGUGUGCCAAGUCUUCUGGUUUUCUAGAAAUUUAAUUAAAGUGGUGAAGUAGCAGCCAGGCGGUGGUGGCACACACCUUUAAUCCCAGCACUUGAGAAGCAGAGGCAGGCAGAUCUCUGAGUUUGAGGCCAGCCUGGUCUAUAAGUACCAGGACAGCCAGGGCUACAAUAAAGAAAAAAAAAAAAAAAAAAAAAAAACAGAAAAAGUGAAGUAGGUCGAGUGUUGCUGGGGGAUGUCCUUCUGUACGCUGUGAAUAUAUGUUCCCAUUGGUUAAUAAGCUGCUUUAGCCUAUGGCAAGGCAGCUUAGAGGCAGGUGGGAAAUCCAAGGAGAGAGACAGGAAAGAGAAAGGCAAGUGGGAGAGAUACCAGACCGCCAUCCUAGGAGUAACAUAUAAUGGGAUGCAGGUAAAGCCAGGGAACACAUGGUGAUACAUAGAUUAAUAGUUAUGGGUUGAGUUAAAGUAUAAGAGCUAGCUAGCAAGAGACCUGCCAUAGGUCAUACAGCUUAUAAUUAAUAUUAAGCCUCUGCAUGAUUAUAAGCAGCUGAGGGGCCAGGCAAGACUGGAGGAACACAGGACCUCAGGGCCAGGCAGUACCUGAGAAAAUUUACUACUACAGAGUGUCUUUUGAAAUCAUAUAUAACAAAACCUCUGGUUAUAUUUCUAAACAGCAGGUCUUGGGCUAUAUAUAUCUUUAGAGUUUGAGGCCAUGCUGGGCUACAGUCUGACUCUGUCUUAAUAAAAAAAAAAAAUAAUAGUAACAAAAAAACAGGCCAGUUGUAGCAGUGCACACCUGUGAUCCCAGCACUCGGAGGAAAAGAAGUUCAAGGUCAUCCUCGGCAGCCUGGGAUACAGGAGACCCUGUUUCAGUGAAGAGAAAACUCCUGCAAGAAGCUCACGCUCUCUUGACAUGAAGGAGGAGUUUGACUUCACAGAAACAUCGAGCUUUCGCCUGAGAGACCCAUCCAGCGGCAGCUCCCACUCAAACCUGGGAAGGCACUAG